rnacentral:rRNA from 1 species
CCUACGGGUGGCACCAGGGGGGAAUAUUGGGCAAUGGGCGAAAGCCUGAUCCAGCAACGCCGUGUGUGUGAAGAAGGUCCUCGGAUUGUAAAGCACUUUCGACGGGGACGAUGAUGACGGUACCCGUAGAAGAAGCCUCGGCUAACUUCGUGCCAGCAGCCGCGGUAAUACGAAGGGGGCUAGCGUUGCUCGGAAUGACUGGGCGUAAAGGGCGCGUAGGCGGUUUAUGCAGUCAGAUGUGAAAUCCCCGGGCUUAACCUGGGAACUGCAUUUGAGACGCAUAGACUAGAGGUCGAGAGAGGGUUGUGGAAUUCCCAGUGUAGAGGUGAAAUUCGUAGAUAUUGGGAAGAACACCGGUGGCGAAGGCGGCAACCUGGCUCGAUACUGACGCUGAGGCGCGAAAGCGUGGGGAGCAAACAGGAUUAGAUACCCGUGUAGUC